CCUACGGGAGGCAGCAGUGGGGAAUAUUGCGCAAUGGGGGCAACCCUGACGCAGCAACGCCGCGUGCGGGACGAAGGCCUUCGGGUUGUAAACCGCUUUCAGCAGGGAAGAACCAUGACGGUACCUGCAGAAGAAGCCCCGGCUAACUACGUGCCAGCAGCCGCGGUAAUACGUAGGGGGCGAGCGUUAUCCGGAUUCAUUGGGCGUAAAGCGCGCGCAGGCGGGCUUGCAAGCGGGGCCUCUAAUCUUGGGGCUUAACCUCAAGUCGGGUUCCGAACUGCAAGCCUCGAGUGUGGUAGGGGAAG
rnacentral:rRNA from 1 species